rnacentral:rRNA from 1 species
CAGGUCAGCAUACUGCCGUGAAUACGUUCCCAGGCCUUGUACACACCGCCCGUCACACCAUGAGAGUUGGGGAUACCCGAAGCCUGUGAGCUAACUAUUUAUAGGAGCAGCAGUCGAAGGUAGAAUCAAUGAUUGGGGUGAAGUCGUAACAAGGUAUC